ensembl:lncRNA
GGAAGUUCGGUCAUGAAGCCUCCUGUCAGCUGCGGAACACCUGCCUAAACUUUCUUAGUGCUGCUCCAAUUCACCCGAGCAGACCACCGCCCGGCAUCAGCCUCAGUCCUGGUCGCUAGCCGGAGUGUUAUCUGGCCCGGCUCGGCACUGCUCGGUUUCUUUUCCAGCAGUUUUUUACCGACAUCGACCCAAACAGAACCGGAGCAACAGUUCCUCUUUGCUGGCUAGCAAGUUAGCCGACUAGCCCAUAGCAGCCCCACGGCACCGGGUGCGCCUUGUGGGACCAGAACGGGUCUGAGUCCGCCUUCGAGCCUUUGGAUCGGGUAGUACCGUUGAGACCGUACUGUUUCAGUUGUCUGUCUAGUGUCUCGGUCCGCUCAGCUUCUCCUCAUCCUCCCAAGAAAGAGUCUCUCUUAGCCGCUCUGCUAAACUCAGCCAAGAUGGCGGAGUGGCCAAGCCCAGCGCGGUGACGCGAUGGAUAUCGUGCGGCGUGAUUGGUCGGUCAGCUCUGUCAGGAACAUUCUGAUCCACCAGGACUCCCUGCCCUUUGAUUUCUUCUUCUUCAUUCUAAUUAUUAUUAUUGAUCAGAUGAGAACUGCAUACAGUGACAGGAUACAAGCAGUUUGAAUGAAGACAAGUUUAAACGGGUUUCUGGAUGCAAAGAGUCAGUUCGGCCAGCAGGCGGCAGCAGACCCCUCAGAUCAGAUGACACCAGCUGUCUGAACAAAGACUGUUCACUAUGCUGGAAACUUUGAUCCACACAUGGAUGGAGGAAGAGGAGAGAGGAGGAUGAAGGGUAAAGAGGAGGAGAGAGGAAGAGCACUAAUGUGACGGAUUACAUUUACUGGUGAUGACUGCACACAUCAAUGCCUUCCAUAACAAAAUGUCCACAACAACAACACACUACACCACUGUAUUUACUGGUUACAGUCAGGCCACAUGAUGCUGAACCCAUUUAGAGUUUAAGUCUGAUCUGAUUGAGUUUAUUAUUGAUCCACUUGACUUUAAGGUUGGAGAAGAAUGGAGGGCUGUGAUUGGCUGAGACGUCAUGGAGGCGGUUCUCCUUUAAGCUCCGCCUGAUGGAACUAACGUCUGUAGCUGAUAGGCUGGGUUUAAUAGACAGCAGCGCCGACACAUGAUCGUCACUGAAGAGAGGGGACAUGGAAGAGCAAUCAAUCAAUCAAUCAAUCAAUCGAUAUGUCAAAAAUGUAUUCUUGCA